rnacentral:rRNA from 1 species
ACUCAAAGGAAUUGACGGGGACUCGCACAAGCGGUGGAACAUGAGGUUUAAUUCGACAAUGAACGAAGAACCUCACCAGGGUUUGAAAUGCUUAUUGCAAUCCGGAAGAAACUUCGGACCUUCGCAAGAACAGUAAGCACAGGUGCUGCAUGGUUGUCGUCAGCUCGUGCCGUGAGGCGUUCCCUUAAUUGGGGUAACGAGCGCAACCCCUGUUUCGUGUUACAAGUGUCACGAAAGACUGCCCAGCCUAAAGAUCGGAAAGCGCUUUGAGUCGCUUUAUGAUUUUCAGGCUGGGAGGAAGGAGGGGAUGACGUCAAAUCCGCAUGGCCCUUUGAUACCCUGGGCUACACUCAUGUUACAAUGGUCACGACAAUGGGUUGCCAAGCCGUAAGGCGGAGCUAAUCCCCCAACCGUGGCCCUAGUUCGGAUUGAGGGCUGCAACUCGCCCUCAUGAAGCUGGAAUCGCUAGUAAUCGUGGGUCAGCUAUACCACGGUGAAUACGUUCUCGAGUCCUGUACACACCGCCCGU